rnacentral:tRNA from 1 species
GGGGUUAUGGCUCAGUGGUAGAGCACUUGCCUAGCAUGUGUGAGGCACUGGGUUCGAUUCCCAGCACCA